UGUGUAGGCGGUUCACUAAGUUCGACGUGAAAUCUCCCGGCUUAACCGGGAGGGUGCGUUGAAAACUGGUGGGCUUGAGUAUGGGAGAGGUAAGCGGAAUUCCUGGUGUAGCGGUGAAAUGCGUAGAUAUCAGGAGGAACACCUGUGGUGUAGACAGCUUACUGGACCAUCACUGACGCUGAGACACGAAAGCGUGGGUAGCAAACA
rnacentral:rRNA from 1 species